rnacentral:rRNA from 1 species
UACGAAGGGGCUAGCGUUGUUCGGAAUUACUGGGCGUAAAGCGCACGUAGGCGGACUAUUAAGUCAGGGGUGAAAUCCCGGGGCUCAACCCCGGAACUGCCUUUGAUACUGGUAGUCUCGAGUCCGGAAGAGGUGAGUGGAAUUCCGAGUGUAGAGGUGAAAUCGUAGAUAUUCGGAGGAACACCAGUGGCGAAGGCGGCUCACUGGUCCGGUACUGACGCUGAGGUGCGAAAGCGUGGGGAGCAACAGG